GGGGUGAACCACGAUACAUCUUGUGUUAUUUACAUUACUUGCAUAUUCAUGGUCGGAUUUACGUUGUACCAAGACCUCCGGUUUUGUGCAUCAACAAUAUUAUAUAUUUAACCCUAUUCUUAGUAUAUUUUGGUUAAUAUUUUGGAAGAAUUUUGAUACUUUGAAUUGUAUUUCCAAUAUAGGACUUUCAACUUUCUUUGGAGCAAAACAUGGUCAAAUGGAGGAAUUUUGGAGUAAUUCCAGUUGAAGGACGUUCAUGAGUCAGUUAGCUUGAUUGUAUCAAAAUAUCAGAUUUUUCCACCAAGUGGUUAUUUUCUAGAAAUAAAAUAAAGGAGGAUUGCGCGGUGCUGGAAUAGUGAAGUUUUGGGUUUGAAUUGCAUUUUUGGAGCCCAAGAUGACCUCAACUGGGUUCGUGGCCUUCUGGAGAUGGGUUCAGAAUGUCCUAAUCUUUAAAACAAGCUAUUAUGGGCUGGAUUUGGAGGAUAUCUGAGGCUAAAACAUGGCUGGACAAGUGCUUGGCAGAUUCUCCUAGUUUUAUUAGGAUUUUAUUUUCUAAGAUAUUUUAUUAUUAUUUAGUUUCCUAGUUGGAGUAAGAGACCUAUGUUUUAGGGUUUGUGCGAUGGCUUAGCAAAUAUAUUGCUUUGCCGUUCUUAGUUUUUUCUACGCUUUCUUUUAUGCAACUUUGUGUUGGAAAUUUUGAGUAGAAUUUCAUUGUCCCACAUUGCUCACCACCACAAGGUUUCCUCACUUUAUAAGGUUUUAUCCCUUAUAGAAAGUGAUUGGAGCAAUGGACCUUGGAGACUAAAAUUGGGCUCACCUUUGAGGUUGGGCUUUGGGGUGUAAUAAUUAAUUGAUAAUUAAUUAAUAAUUAAUAUAUAAUUAAUUAUCAAAAGAUAGCCUUGGGGCUCUUGGGCUCUGAAAAUUAAAUUCUUUAAUAAAUUAUUUUUAAUUAAUUUCGAAUUUAUUUAAUUAUUUUUUAUGAAAAGACUCAUCUUUUCAAAUGAAGUCUGAGAGCGUAUUUGAGAAACAGAUGGAGCAACACACCCUUUACAUUGAACAGUCGCUUCCCAAAAACAUGUCUGUUACGAACAGACAUAUGCUCACUAUAAAUACAUACAUCUACAUAUCAUUUAAAUCACUGAAAAUCAUCAAACCUCAUAUACCAAGCAUACUGAGAGCACCACAAACAAAUUCGCCAGAAGUCUAGUUUUCCGGUGCUGGAAUUUUAACUUAGAUCGUUGAAUCCUGGUGAAGUAGACGUCCGUAGAAUUACAAGCACUGAGUAGGGACGAAAUUUCUAUUUCAAGGACAUUGCGGUACGCAAGCCUCGAUCUUCAAGUUGUUUGUUUUAUAUUUUUGUUUUGUUCAUACUCUGCUAAUUUUUAUAUUCACAUUUAUUGUUUAUUAGCAUAUAUAAUUAAAUCACAAAUUGUUGACUUAUAUCCAACACUUUGGAGAUAAAGAGAAUUGCUAGGGUUCUUGGAGAUUUUCUACUUUAAGGUGUUUUCAAUCAUUUUCUUAAUAAUAUUUUCUAUGAUUUUAAUUAUGAAUAUGCAUAACUAAUUCUUUUUGUUAGGGCGAAGCCUUAAGCCUUAGCAUGAAUAUGUAAUUUUUAUUUAAUUGCUUAUGAUCGAUUGCAUGCAUACUUUGAAUUAUUGAUUACUGUGAUUAAAACUAUCUCAUUGUUUUAAUGCCUGAUCACCAUUAGAAUAUUUAGAAAAGUAAUUUGAUGCAAUUUUGGUCGGAAGGUUCCCUGAAAUUGAAGCUGGCUUCUUGUGAUUAAUAAUUAUAAUUUCACUUAGGAUGAACACCAUGUCUUAAGGGUUGCAUGAUUUUUCAAAGGGUUUUCAUAAAGCAUAAUGAGUCUUUCAUGUUCAGAUUUGAUCCGAACGUCCUGACGAGUUGCAUGUUAGAUAUACAUUCUAUGUUGGAGGUUCCAAAUAGAAUAUAAAUUAGGAAAAUCUAACCUUCAAAGUAGCAUGUGUAGAUCAUAAGUAAUUGAUAAAAAUACAUAGGAUUGCUAGGUGAUGGUGGAGCCCUAAUCUUUUAUAAAUUGGUAUUUAAAACUCUUUUCUUUUAUCAUAUUUGUUUAAUUAAAAUUCGUUUUUAAUAUUACUCAAGUCUAAAAUCUCUUGUAUCAAUUUUUAAUUCUAAGUAUUUGAUUAGGAAUUGUUUCUACGUAAAUUAUCCAAAUAGUUAUUGAGAAGAGCGACCUUGCAUGAGCAUCUAUACUAAAACAUCCUUGUAUUCUUGCAAGUAUUUCAAGUGAUUUUGACCCUAUUUGCAUAGACGUUAAAAAUCCUAUCAAGUACCUUUGAGAAAAUCGGGUUCAAUAGAUUGCAUGUCCAUUGUUUUCGUGUGCCUUCUAGGAAGACUCUUGUUAGAACUUUCCUUAUAAUGUAUGCCCAAUCUAAAGAUAGUUUGAAAAAGGAAUUGCAUGCACACUGAAUUUCUCUUACCACCAACACUUGGACAAGCACUUAAAACAUCAAUUAUAUGGUCCUCACCGCACACUUUAUUGAUGAUGAAUGGAAUAUGCAUAAGAUGAUCAUUAAUUUUGGUCUUAUUGCUAACCAGUCGGGAGCCACAAUAGCUAAGUUAAUUGAAACUUGUUUGUUGGAAUGAGACAUAAAUAAAGUACUCACCAUCACGGUGGACAAUGUUUCCGCAAAUAAAGUUGUAUUGGAUCAACUUAGGUCAACGAUGAAUAGGUGGGAAAAUUCACAAGCUAUUUUGCAUGGGGAGUAUUUACAUGUGAGGUGCACUGCUCACAUAACCAAUUUAAUUGUAGGUCAAUGGAUGAAGAGGCUAACCAAUGACCUCUUAGCCAUAAGAAAUUCUGUGAGAUUUGUGAGGAGCUCUCCACAAAUGUUAGAGUAUUUCAAGCAAGUCGUGCUUAUGGAGAAGUUAACAUGCAAAACAAGUGUUUGCUUAGACUACCCCACAAGGUGGAAUUCCACAUUUCAUAUGUUGAAAGUAGCCAUAAAGUUUAAGAAGGCCUUUGCUAGGAUGGGAGAAGAAAGUGAUACUCCUUUUAGCGUGGUCCAACCCUUCUUUGACCUUUAAUAACAACUAUUCCUCCCCCAUCCUAGCAAAGGCCUUCUUAAACUUUAUGGUUACUUCCAACAUAUGAAAUGUGGAAUUCCAUCUUGUGGGGCAAUCCAAGCAAACACUUACUUUGCAUGUUAACUUCUCCAUAAGCACGGCUUACUUGAAAUACUCUAACCUUUGUGGAGAGCUCCUCACAAAUCUCACAGAAUUUCUUAUGGCUAAGAGGCCAUUGGUUAGUCUUUUCAUCCCUUAACCCACAAUUAAAUUGGUUAUGUGUGAGCGGUACACCUCACAUGUAAAUAUUGCCCAUGCAAAAUGGCUUAUGAAUUUUCCCACCUAUUCAUCGUUAACCUAAGUUGAUCCAAUGCAACUUUAUUUGCAGAAACAUUGUCCACCGUGAUGGUGAGUACUUUAUUUAUGCCCUAUUCCAACAAACAAGUUUCAAUCAACUUAGCUAUUGUGGCUCCCGACUGGUUAGCAAUAAGACCAAAAUUAAUGAUCCUCUUAUGCAUAUUCCAUUCAUCAUCAAUAAAGUGUGCAGUGAGGACCAUAUAAUUGAUGUUUUGAGUGCUUAUCCAAGUGUCAGUGGUAAGAGAAAUUCGGUGUGCAUGCAAUUUCUUUUUCAAACUAUCCUUAGAUGGGCAUACAUCCUAGGGAAAGUUCUAACAAUAGUCCUCCUAGAAGGCACACGAAACAAUGGACAUGCAACACUGCAAAAUCUAUUGAACCCGAUCUUCUCAACGGUACUAAAGGGUGCCUCAUCAAGAACAAUCAUCUCUACACAUGCUUCCAAACAAUCAGAUUGGUUAAACUCCCUAUUAACCAAAGUUUUACCCCCUUUCUUAUCCUCAUAAAGAAGUUUUUUAUUUUUCCCCAAGUUGGCUUGAUAAAAUUUAUAUUGUCGAUUAAGAUGUUUUCUCGUUCCGGAUGUACCAUUAAUGCUUGAAUCGGCUGCAUAGUCACCAUCAUUUGUAUGUUCCAUGCAAUACACACAUUUAGCUUUAAGUCUUACAUGUGGAACCAUUACCAGUUUAUCAUUUCCAUCUUUUACAACAUUCCCUUCUCGAUCCCUGAGGCUUACUAUGGUCUUAACUUGAUAAGGCCUAAAGUGCUCUCAAACCUUACUACGUUUACCUUAUAGGAGUUGGAAGACACUUACCUCCUUUUGAUCUCCUUCACUUUCAGUCUCACUUUUGCUUCCCCCCGAUUCAUAUUCCAAAUCAAUUGCAUCCUCUACAGAAUCUACAUGGUUCAAAGCCUGCAUCCAAUCAAUACAAAAAUAUCAAUUGCAAUUACAAGUCAAUCUAGCAUACACAAUAACAUUCACAGAAGCACUGAAUCUGUUGCACAGAUUAUCCUAUAUUCACACAACCUGAUUAAAGUGUACAUAGACUACUUCUCCUAUAUUCACACAACUUGAUUAAAACAUUCAAACAGAUUAUCUAUUAAUAUUGUGCAGAUUAGGCAUACUACUUCUCAUAUAUUCACACAACCUUAUUAAAACAUUCAAACAUAUUAUCCAUUAAAAUUUUGCAUAUUUAGAAAAGAAUAGGAAAAUGAGG
rnacentral:lncRNA from 1 species